CAGCAGCCACGGUAAUACGUAGGGUGCGAGCGUUAAUCGGAAUUACUGGGCGUAAAGCGUGCGCAGGCGGUUUUGUAAGACAGGCGUGAAAUCCCCGGGCUCAACCUGGGAAUGGCGCUUGUGACUGCAAAGCUAGAGUGCGGCAGAGGGGGAUGGAAUUCCGCGUGUGGCAGUGAAGUGCGUAGAUAUGCGGAGGAACACCGAUGGCGAAGGCAGCUUCUUGGUCCAUUCCUGACGUUCAUACACGAAAGCGUGGGGAGCAAACAGGAUUAGAUACCCGCGUAGUCCCUGUCUCUUAUAC
rnacentral:rRNA from 1 species